rnacentral:rRNA from 1 species
AAAACUCAAGGGUUCAUUUGUAAGGUUCGUCUAAAGAGGAUGAUUCGGGGCUUAAGACGUGGCCAAAAGGCAUAGUUGAUAGACAAUAAUUGAAUAUUCCUCUACUAUUACUUGUUGAUCCCAAGAGAUGGAAGAAACAGCAAACUGGGUUAGUCGAAAGCUGGUUAUAGAUUCAACUAUGUAAUGUGCCCCUACUUUUUUUUGGGUAAGAAAGGAUAGAGAAAAUGUCUAGAGCCAAUAUUCGAGAACUAGGCACCUUGAUGCUGAAGUAACUAAACAAUAUUCUUCGGAAAAGUUUGAACAAUCUUAAACAAAAAAGGUAAUUAUAUCUGAAAUGACAUAGAUGGGUAAAUAGAGAAUACCUA